GUGCGGAAAAACUAACACUUUGCCAGGUGAAUUAAUAAUAGAUUUUCGCGAAAAUAGCUCGUGAGUAUUAAGAUUGGGGCAGAAAGGGGCCUCUUCAGUUGUGCAUUUAAAUCCCAACGCGUGUAGUCUGCUCUGUAACUCAUGGAAAUUCGGACUAAGAAGUAGUACCUUGUUGAUGCUUCGUUUACGUCGACGCUCUUCAGUUCUUUCGUGUGGGGUUGAAGGAAAAAUUUCUCCUCUCACGCCACUUCUUGUGAUUCCGCCGAAUGAAGAAGAAAAAAAACGUUCCAUCAGCAACGUCGACGACCUCACUCUCUGUAGCUCCCUAUCGCGCACACAGUCCUCUUUUUGAUCUAUAAAUAGUCGACAGACCUUCCGAGGGUGGCAGAAUCAGCAGCAUUUCGUGGAAGAGUGCUGCGACAAGAGAGAGAGACACCAUUUUUAACUAUCGCUGCUCAUUUCAAUCGAUAGUUCCUAACACCUGAGGGUGAAAAUACUCAAAGAAUCACUCCUGCAAUUUUUUUUUCCAAUUCACUCCUAAGGAAUUUUCCAUCUCACCAACGUGGUUUAAAGAGUAACACAAAGAAUACAGCGCAGUCACACAAAUUGUAACGUUAAAUAAGCUUAAACGACAAACAUCCUCUUCCUCAUCAUCAUCCAUCAUCGGGUUGCAGAGCGAUGUGCAUUGCAGAUAAUUUUGCAGUUUGCACACACAUAGAGAUCUUCCCAAACAUCAAAACACUUUUCUCCCAAGAGAUCAAAAUAGCCUCACUGUGCUCAUUGAAUCCACGACUAGCGAAUUCGCGGUUUAUAAGUGAAAGAAACCAUCACAGAGGAGUUUUUAGCAGAUAUACUCAUUUAUUCACAAAUAUUUUGGUAGCUACCCAAAUUUUGAGAUGAAUUCAGUCUAAAAUAAUAAAUUUAAUAUCUAAAACUCUGGAAAGCCUAAGAAAGAUUAAGGGAAAAAUUUACUAUCCAUGUACAUAUAAGGGGAUUAUAUAGUAUUUAAAUUAAAAUUAACUUGAAAGCCAAUUCUGAGGUUUUAUGUUUCUCCAUUUCUAAUUUCUUCUACAUUUUUGGCGAUAUUUAAUUAAAAUUUAAAAAGAAAAUCUUCUCUUAAUACAAAGAAAAUUUUUAAAUAGUUUGUUAUUAAACUAUUUUACCUACAAUAAUGAUCGAUGCACUGAUUUUUUAAUAGAAAAUAAAUAUGAUAUCGAAAACCAAAAAUGAUAAUAUCUUAGUUUAAUAUCUUACCAAUAAAUAAAUUAAUCAAAUUGCAUAGUCUCUUGCACUUGCAUAAAAUUGUGCUAAAAGAAAUACAUACACAAACAAACAUUGUAAUUAAAAGAAAUGUCAAUUCAAGAAAAAAAACUGUAAUAGCCAACAUAAAGCCAAAAACUACGAAGUAUGGCAUCAAAAAGCAUAAAAUACACAGCAAUAAAAGAGUACAAUCUGUUAGAAGAAGAAGUAAAAGAAUGUGUAAAUAUUUGUAAAUUUAAGGAAUAUGUUGUGAAAAGUUUGGCGUAGUUCCCCUGUUAGCGUGUCCCCCGGUCGAUUGCAACUCCCCUAGUUUUGUAAGUCAAAUACAUUGUAAAAUUUUUUUGUAUAGUCCAUUAAGGUUCUAAUGUAGUUCCAUAGGGCAUGCCAAAUAAAUUCAUUCAUUCAUUCAUUCAUAAAGUGGGUACACGAUAAAGAAUUUUUUUUAUAAUUUGUGUCGUGUUAUACCAAUCUGUUUAUGUGUUAAGAUUAUAGUUUACUGAACCCCUUUCUUAGUAUUAAAAUAAAAAGAAAUAGAAUUAUUUAUGUAAAAAAAAGAAGGGUCUGAAUUGAGCCGUCCUCCUCUACAAUAUGUUUCUCAUCUUCAUCUUCAAUAUUGCUUGUCCAUUUUGUUCUAUGUAAAAAUUUUCACCUUAACAUUGGUGUUUAGGAAGGUCUUUUGGAUGAGAAAAUCCUUCAUAGCACAAUCCUCCUAGGCAGACAUACAAUAAUAAAGCUAUAAAUUGGAACGCCAUUCGGGGAAACGCAUCGCGCGAGCUUUAAAAGAAAAUUCCUAUGGAAUUCAAUAGUGAGAGAUCAAUUUAGACUUUACUAUCAAUUAUCUCGAUUGCUGCACACUUUCUGUGGGAAGAAUAAAAAAUUGUAGCACGCAGUGAAGAUGCACUGCAUGGAGUGCAUAGAAUAGCAUUACAUUUUGACGCCAUACGAUCGCGAGAUAGAAAGAGAGAUAUGUAUGUAUAUAGUAUUUCUAUGAAUGCAAGUAUAUGAGUGAUUCAAUGUAGAUGUACUUGACUUAUCUCUGUGCGAUGUGCAGGCUGACCUUGGCAAAACCAUCAAUUUGCAUCCGAUCGCAUGAGAAUCUCAUAUCAAUGGACCAUCAGGCGGAAUUUCUAAAUCACGCGCACUUUUUACGCUCUUUUCUUGAUGAUUUUGGAGAUAUGAAUGGGUUUUGUACUUCAAAAACCUUGAUUUGUUCUUUUGGAAUAUACAAUCUUCGUAGAAUUUGCCACAAUUUUAUGAGAUUCUACGUGGUGAUCUAAUACUUCUUCCCCACUCGAAUUGCAUUUUAUGGACUUUUUUUUCUCUCUCUCUACGAAGAGCUACAAUUGCAACUUAUGGCCAUAAACACUGCGGCUUUGGUGUUCUGACCUCGGCCUCUUUGCACCGUUUGCAGUUUGCACGCAUUGCAUCGAAUAAGUUGAGCUUGUACUUGUGUUUUUCAUUAGUUUUGCAUUAUAUCUCACAUGUGUGGUGGACUUCUUUGAAAAAUGUGCUAAGAAGAUGACGUUCUAAGCUCACAUUGAAAAUUCACACACAAAAAAAAUAUCUUUGUACAUUUUCACUGUAAGCUGUAUGGUUGAAGCUUUCGGAGCAAAAAAAUAUAUUAAUGAAAAUUGCACAGUCAGAAAUUAUUAUUGUUUCCUUCGCUUAGAAGAUGCACAUUUUUUUUUUCUUAAUAAUACCUCUCCACCCGCGAUAGACAAUACAUCAUCUCGCUCCUCCUGUGGUUGAGGAUUCCCAAGAUAGAGAUAGGAAUAUGUACUGUACAUACAUACAUGUAAGCAUCAAAUGCAAAAAGCAUUUUUGCUUAAUGCAAUGCAAUGGUGUUCAUCAUCGUUGCAAUUAAAAUUUAUAAAUUGUGUGUUGUAUUUGGCUUUAAAUGUUUAGCAUAACAUCAGCUUCAUGACCUCGACGUGGUCUCGUCAAAGUCACUCUAUUUGUUUUGCAUAGUUAGACUCUUACACAACUGUAAGCUCAAUAAAAUAAAAAUUGUUAAGCUAUAACUAUUAUACUCCACAAUACAAUUGUAAUGGAACAUUGGCGAGGUAAAACUUGUGAUAUGUGGUACUAGAGAGUGCCAGUAAAACCACCCAGAAAACACAUCAUGCUCGGCAGUCUGGCAGAUGAUGAAAAACAGCCUCUGAAGAACCAAUUUUUUGGGGAUUUCCGGGAAUUUACAUAAUAUCUACUCACUCAGCAGAAACCAUUUUAUUCUCCGCGCACACGUUUCCAUAAAAAGAGUUUAUUUCUGCCAUUGAAUUUUCAUGUGCCAAGUACAUGAUUUUGUGUUGUAUUUGUAUCGCGUCGCGCGCAACUCCGACAUCUUCGCCAAAGAGUUUUUCUCAAGGUGCUAUGGAGUUUUCGCCAAGGUCUCCUUGCGCUGUAAGACGACGAUUGAAUGUGUAUUUAAAAUCAUUGAGAAGCUCAAUUUUCUAGACCACAUCUUUUAGAAGAAAAACCAAAUAAUGCGGUAAAUGCAAGAGCACCAUAUAAAUUCAUUGAGCUCAAUUCUAAACAUAUCAAUGCAAAGGUAAUUCAAGAGCACGACCACUGUAUAUACCUAUGUAUGUAUAUAGCUAUUUGGUUGUAAAUAUAUAACUAAUAAACACUGCUACGACCCUCA